AUGUUCCCUCCUGCUCCCUGGGACGUGGCCUUGAAGAGGGACAGCCGACGGCGCCGUCACGGUCACCACGACUCUGUACCGGGUACUGAGCCCGCAGCACGGCGACCUGUACUCCCUUCUGGUUUUGGCGAGUGGAGCAAGCCUGGGAGACGUGCAGCACCAUCCACGACCACAGGUCCAUCAGCGGCCUCAGAAUAGAGACAAAGCUUGCAGGGCUGCGGCUCCGGGACCCGCGGACCCGCAGGAGGGCCGAGGGCCGCCCCGCCACCGCCCGGCGCCCACCCCGUCGUCCAGUGCCGCGGUCUGUUCAGUAGCUGCUGCAAGACGAACAUCAUCUCAAUUAACAGCGCACCUUGCGGGCGGCUCGGGCCGACUCUUCCAGCCCCACCGGCCACGCGGCCAUCAGGCCCUAAUCAACUAAUGAUGGCGGAAAAUGAGGGAGGCCAAUCCCAAUAAAUUCGAAGGAAAGUCAUUUUUCUCUUUUAAU
rnacentral:lncRNA from 1 species